GCCGUCUUAGCUCAGUAUGGCCAGAGCGUCCGACUGUUAAUCGGAAGGUCAGUGGUUCAAAUCCACUUAGGCGGCGCCA
rnacentral:tRNA from 1 species